rnacentral:rRNA from 1 species
GACGAACGCUGGCGGCGUGCCUAACACAUGCAAGUCGAGCGAUGAAACCCUUCGGGGUGGAUUAGCGGCGGACGGGUGAGUAACACGUGGGUAACCUGCCUCAAAGAGGGGGAUAGCCUCCCGAAAGGGAGAUUAAUACCGCAUAACAUUAGUUUUUCGCAUGAAGAACUAAUUAAAGGAGUAAUCCGCUUUGAGAUGGACCCGCGGCGCAUUAGCUAGUUGGUGAGGUAAAGGCUCACCAAGGCUACGAUGCGUAGCCGACCUGAGAGGGUGAUCGGCCACAUUGGAACUGAGACACGGUCCAGACUCCUACGGGAGGCAGCAGUGGGGAAUAUUGCACAAUGGGCGAAAGCCUGAUGCAGCAACGCCGCGUGAGUGAUGAAGGCCUUCGGGUUGUAAAGCUCUGUCUUUUGGGACGAUAAUGACGGUACCAAAGGAGGAAGCCACGGCUAACUACGUGCCAGCAGCCGCCGUAAGAC